rnacentral:rRNA from 1 species
UGAGGGACCGAUCCAGAAUGGAUUUUUCUCGUAAGAGACCCCUCACACAGGUGCUGCAUGGCUGUCGUCAGCUCGUGUCGUGAGAUGUUCGGUUAAGUCCGGCAACGAGCGCAACCCACGUCUUUAGUUGCCAGCAUUCAGUUGGGCACUCUAAAGAAACUGCCGGUGAUAAGCCGGAGGAAGGUGUGGAUGACGUCAAGUCCUCAUGGCCCUUACGGGUUGGGCUACACACGUGCUACAAUGGUGGUGACAAUGGGUUAAUCCCAAAAAGCCAUCUCAGUUCGGAUUGGGGUCUGCAACUCGACCCCAUGAAGUCGGAAUCGCUAGUAAUCGCGUAACAGCAUGACGCGGUGAAUACGUUCCCGGGUCUUGUACACACCGA